GGAACACUUUAAGCUCUACUGACUCUGGUACUUCAGCAAUAUCUACAACAACAGCUGGUAAAUGCAGUGUGAUAGCAGCACGAUCUUUGCUUUUCAAUAAUUAACUCCCAGCACAUCUCUCCUGUAGAAUUCUAGUUCACAGGCUAUUUAGCCACACUUUUUAGCUCAGCCAAUCACUUUACUUCUUUCACUGCAAGAAAAACAGUCGCCAGAAAUCCUGAGCAGUCUGUGUAGUUAUUUGCUGAAAAACUACAAAAGGUGACAAAAGGUUUGAAUCCACAGUGAAAAUAAUUGUUUGGUUUGAAUUUGCUGUAGGAAACUGUUCCCUGGACUUGUGUUGAUUUUUCUGAAAGAGGAGAUGGGAACCACUGCAGUACUGGACACACCAGAGUCAGCGUGUGACAUCCUUUAGCACAUGUAAAGGAAUUUGAGAGCUUGUGUUUGAAUCUCAAUUUCCAACUCAGAAGUCAACAGCAGUCUGUACACAAAGAACAGCCACACUGCAGCAGGAGACCAACAAGGUAACUUAUGGGGCCAGUGCUAAUUCCAGGGGCAUUUUCUUUCUGUAUGUAUCAGAUUAAUAAAAACUGAAAUCA